GACGAACGCUGGCGGCGUGCCUAAUACAUGCAAGUAGAACGCUGAAGAGAGGAGCUUGCUCUUCUUGGCUGAGUUGCGAACGGGUGAGUAACGCGUAGGUAACCUGCCUUGUAGCGGGGGAUAACUAUUGGAAACGAUAGCUAAUACCGCAUAACAAUGGAUGACACAUGUCAUUUAUUUGAAAGGGGCAAUUGCUCCACUACAAGAUGGACCUGCGUUGUAUUAGCUAGUAGGUGAGGUAACGGCUCACCUAGGCGACGAUACAUAGCCGACCUGAGAGGGUGAUCGGCAACACUGGGACUGAGACACGGCCCAGACUCCUACGGGAGGCAGCAGUAGGGAAUCUUCGGCAAUGGGGGCAACCCUGACCGAGCAACGCCGCGUGAGUGAAGAAGGUUGUCGGAUCGUAAAGCUCUGUUGUAAGUCAAGAACGAGUGUGAGAGUGGAAAGUUCACACUGUGACGGUAGCUUACCAGAAAGGGACGGCUAACUACGUG
rnacentral:rRNA from 1 species